CAAACAACGAAGAGUUUGAUCCUGGCUCAGGAUGAACGCUAGCGACAGGCCUAACACAUGCAAGUCGAGGGGCAUCGGGGCGAGGAGCAAUCCUUGCCGCUGGCGACCGGCGCACGGGUGAGUAACGCGUAUGCGACCUGCCCGUUGCAGGGGGAUAAUCGGGAGAAAUCCCGUCUAAUACCGCGUAAUGCCGCGGGGCUGCAUGGCCCUGCGGCCAAAGGAAGCGAUUCCGGCAACGGAUGGGCAUGCGUGACAUUAGCUAGUUGGCGGGGCAACGGCCCACCAAGGCGACGAUGUCUAGGGGUUCUGAGAGGAAGGUCCCCCACACUGGUACUGAGACACGGACCAGACUCCUACGGGAGGCAGCAGUGAGGAAUAUUGGUCAAUGGGCGCGAGCCUGAACCAGCCAAGUCGCGUGAGGGAUGACGGCCCUACGGGUUGUAAACCUCUUUUGUCGGGGAGCAAAUUCCGCCACGCGUGGCGGAGUCGAGAGUACCCGAAGAAAAAGCAUCGGCUAACUCCGUGCCAGCAGCCGCGGUAAUACGGAGGAUGCGAGCGUUAUCCGGAUUUAUUGGGUUUAAAGGGUGCGUAGGCGGACUGUCAAGUCAGCGGUAAAAUACGGGGGCUCAACCUCCGCCCGCCGUUGAAACUGACGGUCUUGAGUGGGCGAGAAGUAUGCGGAAUGCGUGGUGUAGCGGUGAAAUGCAUAGAUAUCACGCAGAACUCCGAUUGCGAAGGCAGCAUACCGGCGCCCAACUGACGCUGAAGCACGAAAGCGUGGGUAUCGAACAGGAUUAGAUACCCUGGUAGUCCACGCAGUAAACGAUGAAUACUAGCUGUCCGGGGCGAAUGGGCCCUGGGUGGCACAGCGAAAGCGUUAAGUAUUCCACCUGGGGAGUACGCCGGCAACGGUGAAACUCAAAGGAAUUGACGGGGGCCCGCACAAGCGGAGGAACAUGUGGUUUAAUUCGAUGAUACGCGAGGAACCUUACCCGGGCUCAAACGACACAGGAACGGCCCUGAAAGGGGUCGGCUCUACGGAGCCUGUGUCGAGGUGCUGCAUGGUUGUCGUCAGCUCGUGCCGUGAGGUGUCGGCUUAAGUGCCAUAACGAGCGCAACCCCCAUCGACAGUUGCUAACAGGUUAGGCUGAGGACUCUGUCGAGACUGCCGGCGCAAGCUGCGAGGAAGGCGGGGAUGACGUCAAAUCAGCACGGCCCUUACGUCCGGGGCGACACACGUGUUACAAUGGCAGGUACAGCGGGAAGCCACCUGGCGACAGGGAGCGGAACCCGAAAGCCUGUCUCAGUUCGGAUUGGAGUCUGCAACCCGACUCCAUGAAGCUGGAUUCGCUAGUAAUCGCGCAUCAGCCACGGCGCGGUGAAUACGUUCCCGGGCCUUGUACACACCGCCCGUCAAGCCAUGGAAGCCGGGGGUGCCUGAAGUGCGCUGCCGCAAGGAGCGCCCUAGGGUAAAACCGGUGACUGGGGCUAAGUCGUAACAAGGUAGCCGUACCGGAAGGUGCGGCUGGAACACCUCCUUUCUG
rnacentral:rRNA from 1 species